GGCGGACGGGUGAGUAAUGCAUCGGAACGUACCCAGUCGUGGGGGAUAACGCAGCGAAAGCUGUGCUAAUACCGCAUACGUCCUGAGGGAGAAAGCGGGGGACCUUCGGGCCUCGCGCGAUUGGAGCGGCCGAUGUCGGAUUAGCUAGUUGGUGGGGUAAAGGCUCACCAAGGCGACGAUCCGUAGCUGGUCUGAGAGGAUGAUCAGCCACACUGGGACUGAGACACGGCCCAGACUCCUACGGGAGGCAGCAGUGGGGAAUUUUGGACAAUGGGGGCAACCCUGAUCCAGCCAUGCCGCGUGAGUGAAGAAGGCCUUCGGGUUGUAAAGCUCUUUCAGUCGGGAAGAAACGGAGCGCUCUAACAUAGCGCUCUACUGACGGUACCGACAGAAGAAGCACCGGCUAACUACGUGCCAGCAGCCGCGGUAAU
rnacentral:rRNA from 1 species